GUGGUCGGUUCGGCAGCACAGGUACUGAAUGUGGGUCGAUUCAGAGAAGAUUAGCAUGGCCCCUGCGCAAUGGAUGCCAUGCAAAUCGUGAGGCGUUCCAUAUUUUC